rnacentral:rRNA from 1 species
GACUCUCGGCAACGGAUAUCUCGGCUCUCGCAUCGAUGAAGAACGUAGCGAAAUACGAUACUUGGUGUGAAUUGCAGAAUCCCGUGAACCAUCGAGUUUUUGAACGCAAGUUGCGCCCAAAGCCAUUAGGCUAAGGGCACGUCUGCCUGGGCGUCA